UUAAGCGACUAAGCGUACACGGUGGAUGCCCUGGCAGUCAGAGGCGAUGAAGGACGUGCUAAUCUGCGAAAAGCGUCGGUAAGGUGAUAUGAACCGUUAUAACCGGCGAUGUCCGAAUGGGGAAACCCAGUGUGAUUCGUCACACUAUCGUUAACUGAAUACAUAGGUUAACGAGGCGAACCGGGGGAACUGAAACAUCUAAGUACCCCGAGGAAAAGAAAUCAACCGAGAUUCCCCCAGUAGCGGCGAGCGAACGGGGAGCAGCCCAGAGUCUGAAUCAGCUUGUGUGUUAGUGGAACGGUCUGGAAAGUCCGACGGUACAGGGUGAUAGUCCCGUACACCAAAAUGCACAGGUUGUGAACUCGAAGAGUAGGGCGGGACACGUGGUAUCCUGUCUGAAUAUGGGGGGACCAUCCUCCAAGGCUAAAUACUCCUGACUGACCGAUAGUGAACCAGUACCGUGAGGGAAAGGCGAAAAGAACCCCGGCGAGGGGAGUGAAAAAGAACCUGAAACCGUGUACGUACAAGCAGUGGGAGCACCUUCGGGUGUGACUGCGUACCUUUUGUAUAAUGGGUCAGCGACUUAUAUUCUGUAGCAAGGUUAACCGUAUAGGGGAGCCGCAGGGAAACCGAGUCUUAACUGGGCGUUAAGUUGCAGGGUAUAGACCCGAAACCCGGUGAUCUAGCCAUGGGCAGGUUGAAGGUUGGGUAACACUAACUGGAGGACCGAACCGACUAAUGUUGAAAAAUUAGCGGAUGACUUGUGGCUGGGGGUGAAAGGCCAAUCAAACCGGGAGAUAGCUGGUUCUCCCCGAAAGCUAUUUAGGUAGCGCCUCGUGAACUCAUCUUCGGGGGUAGAGCACUGUUUCGGCUAGGGGGUCAUCCCGACUUACCAACCCGAUGCAAACUACGAAUACCGAAGAAUGUUAUCACGGGAGACACACGGCGGGUGCUAACGUCCGUCGUGAAGAGGGAAACAACCCAGACCGCCAGCUAAGGUCCCAAAGUCAUGGUUAAGUGGGAAACGAUGUGGGAAGGCACAGACAGCCAGGAUGUUGGCUUAGAAGCAGCCAUCAUUUAAAGAAAGCGUAAUAGCUCACUGGUCGAGUCGGCCUGCGCGGAAGAUGUAACGGGGCUAAACCAUGCACCGAAGCUGCGGCAGCGACACUAUGUGUUGUUGGGUAGGGGAGCGUUCUGUAAGCCUGCGAAGGUGACCUGUGAGGGUUGCUGGAGGUAUCAGAAGUGCGAAUGCUGACAUAAGUAACGAUAAAGCGGGUGAAAAGCCCGCUCGCCGGAAGACCAAGGGUUCCUGUCCAACGUUAAUCGGGGCAGGGUGAGUCGACCCCUAAGGCGAGGCCGAAAGGCGUAGUCGAUGGGAAACAGGUUAAUAUUCCUGUACUUGGUGUUACUGCGAAGGGGGGACGGAGAAGGCUAUGUUAGCCGGGCGACGGUUGUCCCGGUUUAAGCAUGUAGGCUGGUUGUCCAGGCAAAUCCGGAUAAUCAAGGCUGAGGUGUGAUGACGAGGCACUACGGUGCUGAAGUAACAAAUGCCCUGCUUCCAGGAAAAGCCUCUAAGCAUCAGGUAACAUCAAAUCGUACCCCAAACCGACACAGGUGGUCAGGUAGAGAAUACCAAGGCGCUUGAGAGAACUCGGGUGAAGGAACUAGGCAAAAUGGUGCCGUAACUUCGGGAGAAGGCACGCUGGUGUGUAGGUGAAGUCCCUGCGGAUGGAGCUGAGACCAGUCGAAGAUACCAGCUGGCUGCAACUGUUUAUUAAAAACACAGCACUGUGCAAACACGAAAGUGGACGUAUACGGUGUGACGCCUGCCCGGUGCCGGAAGGUUAAUUGAUGGGGUUAUCCGUAAGGAGAAGCUCUUGAUCGAAGCCCCGGUAAACGGCGGCCGUAACUAUAACGGUCCUAAGGUAGCGAAAUUCCUUGUCGGGUAAGUUCCGACCUGCACGAAUGGCGUAAUGAUGGCCAGGCUGUCUCCACCCGAGACUCAGUGAAAUUGAACUCGCUGUGAAGAUGCAGUGUACCCGCGGCAAGACGGAAAGACCCCGUGAACCUUUACUAUAGCUUGACACUGAACAUUGAGCCUUGAUGUGUAGGAUAGGUGGGAGGCUUUGAAGCGUGGACGCCAGUCUGCGUGGAGCCAACCUUGAAAUACCACCCUUUAAUGUUUGAUGUUCUAACGUUGGCCCCUUACCGGGGUUGCGGACAGUGUCUGGUGGGUAGUUUGACUGGGGCGGUCUCCUCCCAAAGCGUAACGGAGGAGCACGAAGGUUAGCUAAUCCUGGUCGGACAUCAGGAGGUUAGUGCAAUGGCAUAAGCUAGCUUGACUGCGAGCGUGACGGCGCGAGCAGGUGCGAAAGCAGGUCAUAGUGAUCCGGUGGUUCUGAAUGGAAGGGCCAUCGCUCAACGGAUAAAAGGUACUCCGGGGAUAACAGGCUGAUACCGCCCAAGAGUUCAUAUCGACGGCGGUGUUUGGCACCUCGAUGUCGGCUCAUCACAUCCUGGGGCUGAAGUAGGUCCCAAGGGUAUGGCUGUUCGCCAUUUAAAGUGGUACGCGAGCUGGGUUUAGAACGUCGUGAGACAGUUCGGUCCCUAUCUGCCGUGGGCGCUGGAGAAUUGAGGGGGGCUGCUCCUAGUACGAGAGGACCGGAGUGGACGCAUCACUGGUGUUCGGGUUGUCAUGCCAAUGGCACUGCCCGGUAGCUAAAUGCGGAAGAGAUAAGUGCUGAAAGCAUCUAAGCACGAAACUUGCCCCGAGAUGAGUUCUCCCUGAGACUUUAAGUCUCCUGAAGGAACGUUAAAGACGAUGACGUUGAUAGGCCGGGUGUGUAAGCGCAGCGAUGCGUUGAGCUAACCGGUACUAAUGAACCGUGAGGCUUAACCUU
rnacentral:rRNA from 1 species